GCUGGGUGGUCGCGCCCCUCACACCCGGGGGUCCCGGCUCGGCCCGGCGCCCCGCCCCGCCGCCUCCAGGCCCGCGGGAGGAGCAGCGAGGUUGAAGCCACGCUCCGGCGCCCGCUGCGGGGCUUUCGCAGCCGCCUGCGGGUUCCGGGAGUCGCUGACAGGAACACCGAGACGCCACGAGACGGGGGCCCGGCGGGCGGGGAGAGGAACAGCGACCCGGGCUUCCGCAGGGUCGCCUCCAUUCCUCGCCUCCCCUUGCCCUCUUUCUUCGUGUCCCUAAUUAACGUCCCCCGCCCCAAGCCCCUUCUCCCGCCGCCCCGCGGGGGGUUGGGAAGGCUCGCAUCGCCAUGGCAACGAAUCUUCCCGCGGGAAUGUGGAGCUCCUGGAGAAAGGCAUAGGGAAGGAAAGGAAGAUGAUCCAUAGCCCCCAGUUCUUCUACCCAUUGUUGGCAUUUUGUUGUCGUCCUUCCAGAUUCUGUGCACAUGGACAGCACAUCUGUGGUGUUCAGCAGCCACCGUCAGUCCCGCGGUUCUUAUGAUGGUAUUUGCCCCUUGCCUCUCACAUGUGAGAGAUAUUGCACAGACCAGCACCUUGCCUUAGCCCGCGUCACCUUUCGGGUCACCACAGAUGGAAUUCUCAGCAGUUGCACCCCUACCUCAGCCCAAGGCCUUUUCAUACUCGACUCUGCUGUGAACAGUGGGGCCUGCGUUGCCUGCCAGCUGGCAAGUGAUCAACUCCACAGUCUCAUCUUUAGAAUUUUCUCUGAAGGGUGUUCCUGGCACCAACUGCCUUAGGGUGCCAGUACCUGCAACUUUGCCUUGCAUGUUGUGAAUGCCUAAUAAAUGUUUGCUG